UUUUGCGUCGUGCCUGUACAUUCCGAAGUUCUGUGAAAAGAGGCACUAGCGCUCAGCUCAGCCACGCAAGGCAGGAAAACAGAGGAAGUUUUCGCAUUCUGACUGCAGCCUGAGUUCCCCGGAGCAAGGCUGCUUCUCUCCACCCACUCCUCACCAAGAACUCCUGAACUUGAGGGUGGACGACUUCAAAGCUAGCUCCCACAGACUCACCUGGAAAAGAGUUCAGCUGCGCGUUCGUUGAACCGAGAGGCCAGAUCACCUAUGUGAGGCGGUGGGAACCAUAUGGAGAUUUAUAUUAGAACUUCAGCAAAGUGCACAGCUGCAGCCGGCAGAAGCCAGCUCUCGGGCUGACAGGCAAAUGAACCAGAUCGUGGACAGGGCCUCUGGGUGGCAGCUCCGGCCUUUUGGUUGUUGGACAACUAUAGUCAGAACUGAAAUGGAACAGGGGCAGGAGAAAUAACACACUUUUACUCCACGCAACUGUUGCUUUCAUAUGAUCUUCAGGAAUGUAACUGGGAUAAUUGUCCAAAUCGAAUCCCAUGCCCUGUCAUGGUGAGUAGAACCAUCUAAGAUGCUAUUUUUUUCGUGUUUAUCUGUAAUUUUUUUUCAUUGGUAAUCUCAGUUUUCUGGUGAUUGGUAUAGGAAAUUCA
ensembl:processed_transcript